AGAUGCGGGCUUCGUGGACUUCCGGUUCUUGACCAGGUUGUUAUUUUUGGCAAAUUAAUUAAGUGUUUUGUGCAUUUCUUUAAAGUGUAACUUUGUCAUUUACAUGUCAGGAGUCUUUAUUCAAAAGAAUGACACAGGGCAGUGCAUUACAGUUUGUGAAGAAGAAUAGGUUGGCCAUUCUAUUUCCCACAGUAACAGCUUGCUUUAUACUGUAUGAUCUAAAUCGCACAAGAAUAUUUAAAGCUAAAGUGGCGGAGAGGGACAGGAGAUUGAAGCAACAAUGAAAGAAAUGGGGAAAAUGAGUAAUGGCCCAAAUUUCAGUUUUAAACAUCUGACGCCUGUGCAGCGGAAGAGAACUAUGAUGGUCUUCUAUGCAUUAGCUCUGCCAAUUUGUUUCAUUAGUAAAUAUGUGGAAAGGAAGUUCUAUUUUGACCGUAUGGACAGUCAUUUGAAUAAAAGUAAUCUCUUCGGAGGACGCAAAUUGUACCCAGAUACAUGGACCGGAAAAGAAUGGUGAAGUGUUAUCAUGUGUGAAGUUACAAAUACCUAUAGUUGUAAAAUAAAGUGUUGAAUUUACCAUGUGA